rnacentral:rRNA from 1 species
CACGGGGGGAGCAAGCGUUGUUCGGAAUCACUGGGCGUAAAGGGCGUGUAGGCGGUUGCGUAAGUGGAAUGUGAAAUCCCCCGGCUUACCCGGGGACCUGCAUCCCAAACUGCGCGACUUGAGUAUGGGAGAGGAUGAGGGAAUUCCUGGUGUAGCGGUGAAAUGCGUAGAUAUCAGGAGGAACACCGGUGGCGAAGGCGCUCAUCUGGCCCAAUACUGACGCUGAGGCGCGAAAGCUAGGGUAGCGAACGGG